UAUUUUUAUGGAAACCAUGAUACAGUUUUUUUAGGAUUAACAUUUAUUUGAAAUGGAAAUGUUUUGUUACAAUGUACAAAGUCUUAAUUAUCACUUUUGAUCAAUUUAAUGCAAAUCUUCUGUAUAUGUUGGGAAAACAAAACAUACCACACUUAAACAUGGUUUGUAUCUAAUGCAGUGACAUUCUGAUAGUUUCUUCUGUACUUUAAAGUGUUUAUAAUCAUCACUUUGUGGACCAGUGUAUAUUUUGUAUAUGUGUGUGUAUUUCUCAAACAUGGAAAUGAUUAUUUUGGUAUUACUUGACAGCUUAUUUCAAAACAGAAAGGCAGACGAAAACUUGCCACAUUAGUCAUGCUCUACCUUUUUGCGUAACCCUGCAUUAAGAGAGAGCAAAUUAGCAGGCCCUUUUCAACAAUUGCAGCUCAAAAUUAGCCUCUCCAGCAGGAAACAUUUAGCCGAAAACAGGUAUAAGUGGACAGGAUCGUGUUUUCUGACUGUAGAAAUGUUGACACAGAGGGGAGCUGGCAGAAACUCAAGUCACAGAAAAGGAGUUUUCUCUCUCCCACAGGUGUGUGUGUGUGUAGAUAGAGAGUGCUGGAGCACACCAGCCAGGCUCUUUGGACACCUGUCAUUCCAUCGUUGCUUUACUGCUUCCUGUCCUGUGGUAUUCACAAGACUCCCUGCUGGAUCUGUGAAAGCUUUACCAGAAGCCUGAGAUAUGGACAGAUACAUAAACAUUCUGACAGAAAACAAAACAGAUCUAAUGCAAAAAAGACUGCAGAAUGGAAGAAAAGAACAUCUUUAUGCACUUCAUAUCCAUUUGAAAUCCAAUAGCUCAAACAAAUACCGAACAGACAAAGUAUUUUAAUUGACACAUAUUGUGAAGUGUUACAGGAUCCUUUGAAUUCUUAAUGGCUUUUUAGUUGGACCAUAUAAAACAUGGUGAAUCCAAACCCAUUACCAAAGGAAUGACAUGAUGAUAUUCAAACCCUGUCCCUCCACAGAAUGCAGGUGCUGCUGGUUAGGAUAUUUAGGGCACGUAUUAUUCCACUUAGAGAAUUUUCAAGGCUUUGUAUUGUACUUAGUAUGAAAUCAUUCAGAUCAGUUUUAGGUCAUACAGGUUUUUGCAUUUUUGGUGGAGUUCAUCGCAAGUGGAAAGUUUCUAAUACUUUUCUGAUGUCUUUAAUUACAGGUCUGACUCUUUCUCUGGCAUCAGUAUCCAACGACAUCCAGUGUGCAGGAGCAGAAAUGAAGUCAGUCUUCACUGAAAUUCCAUGCCGUAAUCGUCCCGUUCCUCGGAAGCCAAAGAAUUCAGACGGCAAAGCAGUUGCUCAGCUCAGUAGCAGCCAGAAACGCACAGACAUCCCAAACAUAUCUGAACGGAAAUGGACCUUAAAUGGAAACUGGAGGUUUUCCUUUUGCCGUUCAUUCCAUCAUGGACCGUUUCCAACACCGUUUCAUCUCCAUCAACAUUGCACGCCCCACUUUGCUGUUUGUGGUCAUUUGUAAUGUAAGCAGUAGCUAACUGGCUGCUUAUAUCAUCUUUUGCAGUGAGACCAAUGAGCUAAUUUUUUGGCUGAACAGUUUUGUUAAUGUAGAUUAGGGCCCAAAACAAGUCAUCCAUUUUGGGUGUGGGUGAGUACAUGCAGAUGGAUUUUUAGAACAAAUAUUUGCUGGAAACUCUCAGGGCUCCAUUAUGUAUGGCGUAAAAAACAAGAAUUGAGUAUAAUGUACAAUUGUGUCUGCUUUAUCCUCAAGCGUUGGCUUGGUUGUUUCUUUUCUUUAUAGAGUUUGGCAAAAUUGUUCGACUGUAGUGGCCAGAUCAGAAAUAAUAUGAAAACCCUUAAUGCAGGCCAUAAAGUGUUCAAAUGAUUUACAAAAUGGCCUCAGUAAAUUUGGCAUUGAAGCUUAUAGUAAAUUGUCAAUAAAAUGUAUGAACUUUCAAAUUUACUUUUUGAAGCCUAACAGGAAGUUUUUGCUGUUCAUUUGUGAUGGUGCUUUAGUAUGUUUGAUCAUGCGGCCUAUUCAUAAUUUAAACCGAUUCUUGUGUGUGUGUUCACACAGUUUGAAGGAUCUUUAGGACAUAUGCUUGUCAUUAUCCAUUGAGGAAAAGCUCUGAGUGAGUGUAAAGGAAAUCCACAAGGCAUAUAUCAGUCAUAUACUGGCGGAACAUUUGCUCUCACACAUCCUUUUUUAAAAUGUACGUCCUCGAUAUGCAUCCAAAAACAAAUAAUUGCGGUCACUCCGCCAUCUGAAAUGAAUUGCCAAAUUGCCCUCUUAAUGUUGCCUCAUUUCAGAUGAGUUUGUGUUGCUGAGUUAUGCCUGAAACCAGCCCGAGACAGAGAGGGGACAUCAGCACUUCAUCAGCACCACAAGAAAACUUUCUUUAAAAGAGUUUCAUCAUUACUGGAUAUGUUAUAAUGGGAUGGUUAAUUGAUGGGAGUUAUGGACUUUAUACUGGUAAUUUGUAAUGAUAAAGCUGACAGAUACAAUUUUAAGGUGUUUGAUGAACAGUUUGGGCAGAGACAUGAUGAUAUGAAUGGGAGAAAUCAUAACACUCAGUAUGGCGCCUGUAGGUUGUAGUUACAAGAUCUCAUUUUUUAUAGAGGCAUCGCCCAUUUGUUUAAACUUGAAUGUGCAUGUGAAUUGGUGGAACAGCCAGAAAAAUACAUAUGUGUGGCAUAAUUUGAUAACAUUUAUGGUUGGUUUCAUUGA